GGGUGACAGCCCCGUACACAAAAGCGCAUGUGCUGUGAGCUCGAUGAGUAGGGCGGGACACGUGGUAUCCUGUCUGAAUAUGGGGGGACCAUCCUCCAAGGCUAAAUACUCCUGACUGACCGAUAGUGAACCAGUACCGUGAGGGAAAGGCGAAAAGAACCCCGGCGAGGGGAGUGAAAAAGAACCUGAAACCGUGUACGUACAAGCAGUGGGAGCACAGGUUUACCUGUGUGACUGCGUACCUUUUGUAUAAUGGGUCAGCGACUUAUAUUCUGUAGCAAGGUUAACCGUAUAGGGGAGCCGUAGGGAAACCGAGUCUUAACCGGGCGUUAAGUUGCAGGGUAUAGACCCGAAACCCGGUGAUCUAGCCAUGGGCAGGUUGAAGGUUGGGUAACACUAACUGGAGGACCGAACCGACUAAUGUUGAAAAAUUAGCGGAUGACCUGUGGCUGGGGGUGAAAGGCCAAUCAAACCGGGAGAUAGCUGGUUCUCCCCGAAAGCUAUUUAGGUAGCGCCUCGUGAAUUCAUCUCCGGGGGUAGAGCACUGUUUCGGCUAGGGGGCCAUCCCGGCUUACCAACCCGAUGCAAACUGCGAAUACCGGAGAAUGUUAUCACGGGAGACACACGGCGGGUGCUAACGUCCGUCGUGAAGAGGGAAACAACCCAGACCGCCAGCUAAGGUCCCAAAGUCAUGGUUAAGUGGGAAACGAUGUGGGAAGGCCCAGACAGCCAGGAUGUUGGCUUAGAAGCAGCCAUCAUUUAAAGAAAGCGUAAUAGCUCACUGGUCGAGUCGGCCUGCGCGGAAGAUGUAACGGGGCUAAACCAUGCACCGAAGCUGCGGCAGCGAACGUAUCACCCAAGACAACUUUACGGAGUUGACGAUUGACGGAGCGAAGCGACGUCAAAGCGUUCAUUAAAGUCGAGUUGGCUUAGGGAUACGUUCGUUGGGUAGGGGAGCGUUCUGUAAGCCUGUGAAGGUGUGUCGUGAGGCAUGCUGGAGGUAUCAGAAGUGCGAAUGCUGACAUAAGUAACGAUAAAGCGGGUGAAAAGCCCGCUCGCCGGAAGACCAAGGGUUCCUGUCCAACGUUAAUCGGGGCAGGGUGAGUCGACCCCUAAGGCGAGGCCGAAAGGCGUAGUCGAUGGGAAACGGGUUAAUAUUCCCGUACUUGGUGUUACUGCGAAGGGGGGACGGAGAAGGCUAUGUUGGCCGGGCGACGGUUGUCCCGGUUUAAGCGUGUAGGUGUGUGUUCCAGGUAAAUCCGGUUCACUUUAACACUGAGGCGUGACGACGAGGCACUACGGUGCUGAAGCAACAAAUGCCCUGCUUCCAGGAAAAGCCUCUAAGCAUCAGGUAACACGAAAUCGUACCCCAAACCGACACAGGUGGUCAGGUAGAGAAUACCAAGGCGCUUGAGAGAACUCGGGUGAAGGAACUAGGCAAAAUGGUGCCGUAACUUCGGGAGAAGGCACGCUGACACGUAGGUGAAGUGAUUUACUCAUGGAGCUGAAGUCAGUCGAAGAUACCAGCUGGCUGCAACUGUUUAUUAAAAACACAGCACUGUGCAAACACGAAAGUGGACGUAUACGGUGUGACGCCUGCCCGGUGCCGGAA
rnacentral:rRNA from 1 species